GUACCUUCCCCCUGUAUCAUUUUUAUGGAGAAGAAUGAUUCAUAGACCUUUUCUGGAAAAAUAAGUCACUAUGAAGAGUGGAGAACUGCAGAUCAGAGCAGAAACAAAUGAAGCACUUGUCUUUAUAAGGGCAUUGACAUUUCUGAAAAAUACUGACAUUCUUGGAAACGGGGGGUUUUAAAGUUUUUAGCUUAACCAAGGGGGAAAGAAAAAGUAACAACAUUUAAAAAAAUACUGGUGAUCUGUGCAUUUUAACUGCAGAGAGAAGGAACGUCCCCAUGCCUCACCUCUGUUCAGAGUUCUGGAAGUCAUUGUACAUGUGGGAAGGGCCCCUCAUCCUCCAGGUGGGUGGUGACUUCUCUUGAAAGUUAAGAUGGAAAUUCUUGUCCCCACUCCCAUUUUCUGUGAUAAUGGAUCGGUGACUUCACGUUCCUUGGAGGGUGUUACUUUCUUCCUCUGUAAAGUCGGAGAUGUGCUGCACUAUCUGACUGUUCCUCUCAGCUCAGAAGUUCCAUGAUGGAAAAGUCAUGGAUGGGAAGCAAUUUUGGUAAAGUAAAAAACAUCACACAGAUGGCCAGUCCUCCUCAAGUAUAAGUGGCACUUGGCCUGCUGGUCCAUGGAUCAGUCUAGGGGCUGUGUGCCCAAACCAGGCAAUUUCACAUCCAAGCAUUCCUCUUGAAGAGUAGCACAAAGGAACACUGAGGUGGGCAAGGGCAGUAGGUGGGUGUGGGUAUGAAGCAGAGAGAUGGGCCACACACCCCAGAUUUUUUGCUACCUCACGGCUGACACAAGUAUACUGUGUGUCCCUCUGGGCAGAUCCAAAACCUUCAUGUGUAAUUAUUUGAAGAUAAUCUUAUAAUUCAGCUGUCAUUACUGUGCAGACAUCUCUCAUUAACAUCUUGACUACUGAGCAUUUUUAAGAGCCUAGAGGACAUGUUUAACUAAAGGGGCUUAGUUUCUCCUAAACCAAACUGCACAUUAUUGGCAUCAGUUCUGGCCUACUCCACUUCAGAACCUUGUCCCCUUUUCCUUUGCAUUUCAUAACCACCUGGAUGGAGUCUUUUGAUGUGUCUCUCCACCUUCCUACCCUCGCAGUCCUAGCCAGGGCUGUUCUUCCCACCGAAAAGACAAAACUUGUCUUUUUGAUUGUUUUUAAGUUUCCCAUGACUCUCAUUCUUAGCAGCUUUGUGAAGAGCCUUUCAUUCCUCCAGUCUAUAUCUUUGUGCUGAGUUCUUUGCCAAUGCCAUGUUUUUAAAAUACAUUCUAUUCUGUCCUAUUCAUCAGUCUAGUAAUGCUUCCAUCUCUACUGGAAUGUUUUUUUGAGGCAAAGAAACUUGCCAAGAGAGAAGGCUUUCAAAUGUGCAAAUAUGCUCCUGUUACUAGGUAGGAUUUUAUCACUCCAAAGAUCAUGGAUAAAAUUGGAAAAUAAAACAAGAACAACAAUAGACCAUGAAUACAUAGCUCACAAAAUGUAUAUAAGAAGUGUUCAGUCUUAAUAGUGAAGGUAUUUAAAAAGUUCUGAUAUAUUUUUUUCACCUAUUAGAUUGGUUAAGAAUUACAGUGUGGAGUUAUUCAAUAUGAUGGCACAGAAAUAGGCAGUCUCAUCAUCUUC
rnacentral:lncRNA from 1 species